GACGAACGCUGGCGGCGUGCUUAACACAUGCAGGUCGAACGCUGAAGCCUAGCUUGCUGGGUGGAUUAGUGGCGAACGGGUGAGUAACACGUGAGUAACCUGCCCUCUUCUUUGGGAUAACGCCCGGAAACGGGUGCUAAUACUGGAUAUUCACUGAUCUUCGCAUGGGGGUUGGUGGAAAGGUUUUUUCUGGUGGGGGAUGGGCUCGCGGCCUAUUAGCUUGUUGGUGGGGUGAUGGCCUACCAAGGCUUUGACGGGUAGCCGGCCUGAGAGGGUGACCGGUCACAUUGGGACUGAGAUACGGCCCAGACUCCUACGGGAGGCAGCAGUGGGGAAUAUUGCACAAUGGGCGAAAGCCUGAUGCAGCGACGCCGCGUGAGGGAUGGAGGCCUUCGGGUUGUAAACCUCUUUCGCUCAUGGUCAAGCCGCAGCUUUGGGUUGUGGUGAGGGUAGUGGGUAAAGAAGCGCCGGCUAACUACGUGCCAGCAGCCGCGGUAAUACGUAGGGCGCGAGCGUUGUCCGGAAUUAUUGGGCGUAAAGGGCUUGUAGGCGGUUGGUCGCGUCUGCCGUGAAAUCCUCUGGCUUAACUGGGGGCGUGCGGUGGGUACGGGCUGACUUGAGUGCGGUAGGGGAGACUGGAACUCCUGGUGUAGCGGUGGAAUGCGCAGAUAUCAGGAAGAACACCGGUGGCGAAGGCGGGUCUCUGGGCCGUUACUGACGCUGAGGAGCGAAAGCGUGGGGAGCGAACAGG
rnacentral:rRNA from 1 species